rnacentral:rRNA from 1 species
GAUCAUGGCUCAGAUUGAACGCUGGCGGCAGGCCUAACACAUGCAAGUCGAACGGUAACAGAAAGCAGCUUGCUGCUUUGCUGACGAGUGGCGGACGGGUGAGUAAUGUCUGGGAAACUGCCCGAUGGAGGGGGGAUAACUACUGGAAACGGUAGCUAAUACCGCAUAACGUCGCAAGACCAAAGAGGGGGGACCCUUCGGGCCUCUUGCCAUCGGAUGUGCCCAGAUGGGAUUAGCUAGUAGGG